CGGCGUUUUUGCCCUCACCCGCGGCGAGUGAAGCGGCAAAAGCUCAAAUUUGAAAUCUGGCGUCUUUGGCGUCCGAGUUGUAAUUUGAAGAAGGUAUCUUUGGGCCCGGCUCUUGUUAUGUUCCUUGGAACAGGACGUCACAGAGGGUGAGAAUCCCGUGCGAUGAGAUGACCCGGGUCUGUGUAAAGUUCCUUCGACGAGUCGAGUUGUUUGGGAAUGCAGCUCUAAGUGGGUGGUAAAUUCCAUCUAAAGCUAAAUAUUGGCGAGAGACCGAUAGCGAACAAGUACAGUGAUGGAAAGAUGAAAAGAACUUUGAAAAGAGAGUGAAAAAGUACGUGAAAUUGUUGAAAGGGAAGGGCUUGAGAUCAGACUUGGUAUUUUGCAUGCUGCUCUCUCGGGGGCGGCCGCUGCGGUUUACCGGGCCAGCAUCGGUUUGGAGCGGCAGGAUAAUGGCGGAGGAAUGUGGCACGGCUUCUGCUGUGUGUUAUAGCCUCUGACGAUGCUGCCAGCCUAGACCGAGGACUGCGGUUUUUAACCUAGGAUGUUGGCAUAAUGAUCUUAAGUCGCCCGUCUUGAAACACGGACCUAAAAAA
rnacentral:rRNA from 1 species